AACCCUGCAGAAGCUCUCCGACUUCGUUCAAUUUUCUUCUUCCAGCCGUGCAAGCAUACCAUUAUUUUUCUUUACUGUUUUUGCUUUUAAUUGCAGUUUUUAUUUUUUAUUUUUAUUUUCUUUUCCAGUUAAGCUUUCAGCACUUAAUUAAUUAUUUUUCGCAUAAUAGUUUCUACAGCGGAAACUAUUGUGUAUCUUUUACUAGAUCUAACCUU
rnacentral:lncRNA from 1 species